rnacentral:rRNA from 1 species
AUUGAACGCUGGCGGCAGGCCUAACACAUGCAAGUCGAGCGGAUGAAGGGAGCUUGCUCCUGGAUUCAGCGGCGGACGGGUGAGUAAUGCCUAGGAAUCUGCCUGGUAGUGGGGGAUAACGUCCGGAAACGGGCGCUAAUACCGCAUACGUCCUGAGGGAGAAAGUGGGGGAUCUUCGGACCUCACGCUAUCAGAUGAGCCUAGGUCGGAUUAGCUAGUUGGUGGGGUAAAGGCCUACCAAGGCGACGAUCCGUAACUGGUCUGAGAGGAUGAUCAGUCACACUGGAACUGAGACACGGUCCAGACUCCUACGGGAGGCAGCAGUGGGGAAUAUUGGACAAUGGGCGAAAGCCUGAUCCAGCCAUGCCGCGUGUGUGAAGAAGGUCUUCGGAUUGUAAAGCACUUUAAGUUGGGAAAAAGGGCAGUAAGUUAAUACCUUGCUGUUUUGACGUUACCAACAGAAUAAGCACCGGCUAACUUCGUG